rnacentral:tRNA from 1 species
GCCGAGAUCUUCCAGUCUGGUAGGAAGCAGGACUGCUAAUCCUGUGGUUUCGGCCGCGAGGGUUCAAAUCCCUCUCUCGGCG